GGAGAGGUGCGAGAGUGGCCGAAUCGGGCUCCCUGCUAAGGAGUUGUAUCUCAAAAGGAUACCGGGGGUUCGAAUCCCCCCCUCUCCG
rnacentral:tRNA from 1 species